AACGAACGCUGGCGGCAUGCCUAACACAUGCAAGUCGAACGAGACCUUCGGUCUAGUGGCGCACGGGUGCGUAACGCGUGGGAAUCUGCCCUUGGGUUCGGAAUAACAGCGAGAAAUUGCUGCUAAUACCGGAUGAUGACGUAAGUCCAAAGAUUUAUCGCCCAAGGAUGAGCCCGCGUAGGAUUAGCUAGUUGGUGAGGUAAAGGCUCACCAAGGCGACGAUCCUUAGCUGGUCUGAGAGGAUGAUCAGCCACACUGGGACUGAGACACGGCCCAGACUCCUACGGGAGGCAGCAGUGGGGAAUAUUGGACAAUGGGCGGAAAGACCUGAUCCAGCAAUGCCGCGUGAGUGAUGAAGG
rnacentral:rRNA from 1 species